rnacentral:rRNA from 1 species
UACUAUGUUACGACUUAUCUCAUCUUAAUAACGAGAGUGACGGGCGAUGUGUACACACCUUAGAGCUAAUAUCACAAAAAUAAUUAUUAUUAUUGAUUACUAUUAAAUCCUCCUUCAUAAAAUAUUUUCAAACCACAAUUCGUAUAUCUUAUAAAUAAUGUAAUCCAUUACCACUCAGUCAUCAACUGCACCUUGACCUGAAAUAAAAUUAAUUACAAUCUAAAGAAAAUUUACCCUAAAAAGAUCUUCAGAUAACGGCGGUAUACAUAUUAAAUCUUACUGAGUAAGGUUCAACGCGGAUUAUCGAUAACGGAACAGAUUCCUCUAACUAGACUAAAAUACCGCCAAAUUCUUUAAGUUUCAAGACCAUAUCUAAUACUACUUAAGUUAUAACACUUUUAUAUCCAAAAUAAUAGGGUAUCUAAUCCUAGUUU